rnacentral:tRNA from 1 species
GGUUGUUAACUUAAUAGGUAAAGAUCUUUCUUGUCAAGAAAGAAGAUAUCGGAUCGUAGCCGAUACAACUCGC